rnacentral:rRNA from 1 species
CGGACGGGUGAGUAAUGUCUGGGAAACUGCCUGAUGGAGGGGGAUAACUACUGGAAACGGUAGCUAAUACCGCAUAACGUCGCAAGACCAAAGGGGGGACCUUAGGGCCUCUUGCCAUCGGAUGUGCCCAGAUGGGAUUAGCUAGUAGGUGGGGUAACGGCUCACCUAGGCGACGAUCCCUAGCUGGUCUGAGAGGAUGACCAGCCACACUGGAACUGAGACACGGUCCAG